rnacentral:rRNA from 1 species
GACGAACGCUGGCGGCGUGCUUAACACAUGCAAGUCGAACGCUGAAGCUUGGUGCUUGCUCUGGGUGGUUGAGUGGCGAACGGGUGAGUAAUACGUGAGUAACCUGCCCUUGACUCUGGGAUAAGCCUGGGAAACUGGGUCUAAUACUGGAUACGACAUGUCACCGCAUGGUGGUGUGUGGAAAGGGUUUUACUGUUUUUGGAUGGGCUCACGGCCUAUCAGCUUGUUGGUGGGGUAAUGGCUCACCAGGGCGACGACGGGUAGCCGCCCUGAGAGGGUGCCGGGCCACACGGGAAUGGAAAACGGGCCGGAGCCCUGAGGGAGGGCGGCAGGGGGGAGAGUGCCACAAGGGGCGAAGCCGGGUGCAGGAAGCCCGCCUUAGGGAUGACGGCCUUCGGGUUGUAGACCUCUUUCAGCACGGAAGAAGCGAAAGUGACGGUACGUGCAGAAGAAGCGCCGGCUAACUACGUG